rnacentral:rRNA from 1 species
GACGAACGCUGGCGGCGUGCUUAACACAUGCAAGUCGAACGGAAAGGCCCUGCUUGCAGGGUACUCGAGUGGCGAACGGGGGAGUAACACGUGGGUGAUCUGCCCUGCACUUCGGGAUAAGCCUGGGAAACUGGGUCUAAUACCGGAUAGGAGCCAUUUUUAGUGUGAUGGUUGGAAAGUUUUUUCGGUGUAGGAUGAGCUCGCGGCCUAUCAGCUUGUUGGUGGGGUAAUGGCCUACCAAGGCGGCGACGGGUAGCCGGCCUGAGAGGGUGGACGGCCACAUUGGGACUGAGAUACGGCCCAGACUCCUACGGGAGGCAGCAGUGGGGAAUAUUGCACAAUGGGCGCAAGCCUGAUGCAGCGACGCCGCGUGGGGGAUGACGGCCUUCGGGUUGUAAACUCCUUUCGCUAGGGACGAAGCUUUUUGUGACGGUACCUAGAUAAGAAGCACCGGCUAACUACGUG